AUAAGGAAGACUGCAGUCCCGAGAACCGAGCGAAGAAAGGCAGUUGUGAAUUUGGGAUCCUCACCUCGGGCCUUGCGCCGAGUCUCCUGGUCACCGAGGCUGGGUGGCUUCUCCAUGGAGCUCAGGAUGGAGCCCAGGUCCUCUGACUCUUCAUCCUAUCUGAGGGCUGUCUGGAUCACUGCUCUUUCUCCAAAAGCCUUCGGAGCCCAGUCUCAAUAUUGUGUAAUUUAUCCCGAGACCCCUGACCUUGUACUUUCGGAAUGCCGUCUGGAUGACUCGGGCUGCCUCAUACAGUUCCCGCUGCUCAUGAUCUGAUAGUGUCAGCAGGGCAAAAUCACUUUCCAUCUUGCCACUGGUAGAUGCAGAGAGAAACUCUGCCCAGGAAGGUGCUGGAGGGAUAGCCAGGCGGCCUCGCUCAAAGGACAGUUCACUGUGGGAGAUAAGAAGGAAUGUCAAGGAGCAUCUGAAAUCCCUGUUGUCCCACUGAGAGGUGGCUGUGAAGGAAGAUCCCCGGCAACCGGAGAGAGUGGCUUCCAAGCACAUCAUUCAAUUCAGUUUCCUUUCCAAAUGGCCUAGGGCCUCAACCAGAAUGGAGCUUUGGCUGUAGGGAAGCUGUGCUUUUUUCCCUUCCUCCCAUCUUUCUUUGAAGAAGAAUCUGGAGAUUUUGUCCCAGCUGAUCACCUGGGAGGGGCAGAGCUGGGGAAGUGGUCCACAUUCUCCAGGUAGCUGGCCAGCCAGGACAUGGUCUCACUGAGCCCCACGGCCCCUGUCCGCUCCCUGCCAGCCUCGGGUAGCCCCACAAAGUCCUCUCGUUUAAUCCGUUCUGGUGUGGCUUCAAUGAUCUGCUUGGCUAGUGAGAUCAUGUCCACCUAAAUAAAGGGAGAAGCUGCAUGAGCCACGAGAGGCCCCAACUUCCAGAUGUCCUUACCCUGUCAAAGCUGUCACCUCAGUCUGCUCCUUGUCUGGUUCCUUCUCAACAUCAGAUACUGAGUCCUCAGGGACUGCUCUCCUGCUCUUUUCUUCAUUAGCCACUGUUCUAGAUUCAUUAAUUCUUGCUGGCUUCCCCUUGAGGGUUCAGCCUUUUGUGCUGAGAUGUGGAGAACAUAGAAUAAGAGGACAUACUCCAAAUGGGGAUUCAGGAGUUGAGCAAAUGCUAUCCUUCUAACUGUCCCACCUGGACCUGCCUAGUGCCAGCCAAUAGCAUAUCUUCCCCAUAGGUUUGGCUAUGCUUGCACCCCAAUCCCUUCAGCUCUCUGAGAACCACUCAGUUCUUGCUGACCACAUGACAUGACACUUUAGUGAAUGGCUCCAGCCUGGCCUUUGCUCCAGCCCGGCCUUUGCUCCAGCCCUAAAGCCUGUAGCACUUCCUGUUGACCAGAUUCCAUGUAGCCCACACUGUGGAGUUCUCAAGUUUUUUUGUACUUAGAGGCUGCUACCUAAUUAUUCAGCCUCUCUAAAGCAAGUAUGUCCACAGAUUCUAGUAGAGGAAUAUGUGGUCACAUUUGAAGAUUCAUUUUUUUUCUUAUUCAUUCCACCAGACUGUCUUAGCUUUUACCAUGUGCAAGUCUUCUUCCCAUUUUAGACCACACUGUCAAGUACCUACAUCUUGUCUGUUUAUACAGUUCCCCAGCUGCCUAUCAUCUCUGUGGUACUUCAAGAAUCCUGUCCUUUUAUGAUCAACAGGUAACUCUACAACACAGCUCUAAGAUAUUCCCCAGAUUUCUUAACCUCUGCUGCCUAUUGACUGCUGAGUUACAGGAUCUGAAAGGAGUGGAGCAAAGGGGUUACUUUGCCUGUCCCAAAAUGAGAAUAAAUGGCCUUUCUUCCCAAACCGAAGUCAGACACUGAUUCUGCUUCAUGAAAUUGUCUUGCUUUACUCCAUCUCUGCACCCCACUCCACUUUUAACCCUCCUAAUUCCAUCAGCAUAAACAGUACCGGAAUCACAUCCACAGCAGGUGAGCUGUCGGUGUCCUCUGGAGCAGCCCCAUCAUCUGGGGCUGGUGGGAGGACAGGAGGGGAGGGUGGGGACCCUUUGGAGUUGGUAGCUUCAAAGUCCAUGAGGAGUAGGGGUGCCUCUGGGGCAUCAGAGGAGAGUUGGCUUGGGACCAUCUCCUCCAUAGUAAUCUCAGAGGCUGACAUAGGAGCAGGGGGAGGACUGCCAUCCGGGGCACUAGAGUAGGCGGAUGUGAUGGAGAAAGUGCCAUCUGAUAGCUCCGAGGGUGAGGAGACGCUGCUUAGACCUGUGAGGUGAGGGAAGAGGGCGAGGGCAGCAGGAGCUACAGGCCAUCCCUCAAGUCUCCUACCCUCCCUCCCCUGGCUGUUCUUGCUCCUGUUAUCUCCCCAUCCCUGCCUCUUUCUCUCCCAGUUUAUCUCCUGCCCUUUGGCUUUUCCUUGGCCUAUCCUAACCAUACCCCUCACUCAAAAAGAUCAGGGGCAGCCCUCACCAGUGUCUGAGCUGGAGGAAGGCGGUGACAGGGCAAGUGAGGGUUCAAUUGAAGCUUCCUGUCUCUGCAGUUCCUCAAGGCAGCGGGCAAGGCGUACGUGACCCCGGGAGUGAGCCACAGUCAGGGGUAGACGGCCCAGAGAAUCAGGAAUGCUCAGUGCCUGACGGUUCCAACGGAAAAGGAGCACAGCAGCUUCCAGGUGUCCCAGGGCACAAGCCCACAUCUGAGGAGACGGAGGUGGAGGGGUGUUCCAGAUCCUCAUCCCCUGGCACCUUCUGACCCAAUGACUGUCCAGCCCCCUCCCUGCUGCCCUGCUCACCGCCACUGGCUCAGGGUCUCGAUGAGGCGCGCAUAGCCCUGAGCAGCAGCCAGGUGCAGAAGACUCAUGCCUCGGAAGGGGCUUCCAUGGAUCAGACGUUCAGGACCUCUCCAGGUAGAGCGUGGGAUCAUGUUUUCUACCAAGAUGACCACCCGUGCCUCAAAUCCAGGCCCUUGGCCUUCAUCCUGUAGUACACAUACCCAUAUGCAAAUAUUUUUGCAUCUGGUCUCCUGGCUUAUUCCCCUAGCUUCUAACCCUGCUCCUUCCCCACACUUCCUAUUCUAGGUAACCAUCACCCAGAUCUGUGAUAUGUGAUAGCCCAUGGUUCUUUCCAGUUUGAAUUCCUAUGUGGCCUCAGUAUCCUCCAUUUCCACAGCCCAUUUGCUCUAACAACUCUGAAAGCCAGGCUUUACACACUCUUGCCCAUAUUGUACCUUUACAGCAGCUCAGAAUUGUGCCAUCCCCACAUGGCUUCUCCCCUUAAGAGCCAGAGUCUUCUCAGCCUUUCCCUAGCCCUCUUCCUUUAGAGAUUUGGGACCCUCAGAGCUUUGAGCCCCAAUUCUUCUGACCCCCUCCCCCACCUGCUCCUUUACCUCCACCCUUCUUCAGACCAGAAAUAGUCUGAAGCCUGUCAUGCCAAGAGGGUGCCCAGAAUAGCCACUCUUGCCAUGGGAUGGGGGUGGGAGUAGGGUGAUGUCAGAGAGAGGGAGGAAGACUGGCUGAGGAAGCUGGGGACAGGCAAGUGAGGACAGGCAUCUGCUACAGCCAUUUUCUUUAGUGGACCCUCCUCCCUUUCCCCACUGUAGACCCACCAUCUGGGGAUGAUGGGAGGACAGGAGGGGAGGGUGGGGACCCUCCUGUCCUCAUGGAAGUACCUGAAUUGGAGGAGCCUCAGGACCCUGACAAGGUGCUUGCCCGGCUGCUGCAAUCUCUGCCAUACGCUUCUCCAUCUGCUCCAGCCGCUCCAGGAUGGACAUCCGGAACUGGUUGUCUGUGGGAAUGGGGAUGGGAGGCUAACUGGGUAGGGUCUAGGUGUUGCCUAGAAUACCAUAUUUGGACCUGUUCCUAAGUUUAGGGGUGAAGAUACAGAACCCUGUUCUUUCCCUCCAAACAAUAACCCCUUUACUCAGUCUUCUAAAUAAAGCCCACCAGGACUCAUCCUUAAACUAGGGCUCUUAAUCCCACCCAUGGACUAGAAACAGAUUCCAAGAUUUGAAUUAAGGUUGGUUCCUUUUAGACAGUGGUGAUAGGAAUUCCCCAACAGCCAUCCAACCCCCAACUGUCCUAAAUCACACAUGGCAUGCCCUCUACUAGCCUUUUCCUAAGCAGAAUAUUCCGCCAGUUCUUGCCCCAGACACUACCUUUGUCUCCCAUUCUGGAGCUGAAAGACUCGAGGAUCCCAACUCUCUGUUAACCACUCCCCAAAAGAACUCAGGAACUGAUUUGAAAAGCACCACCCUCUCCUCCCAGCCCCCCACAGCUGUCCACAAAGAGGUGGGGAGUGGAGUGACAGAGAGGGAUAGCCAUGUCCAUUUCUCCUCCCCCUCCAACCCCUACACAUAUGCGCACACAUAAACACAUACACAAUCUAAGCUUUAUCUGAACCCCUCCCGAGAUCAAAUAAAGACUGAAAAAGGAUCUGAAUCAAGGGAAAGCAGGCACAGAAACAAGGUGAAGGCUGGGCAUGUUCUAAGAUGCUGGCAUAGAAGAGAAUGAAUAUACAGAGGUGACGGUAAGAGGAAAGUAGAGAAUGAUGAGCAAAAACCCAAGUAGGAUAGAGAAAAGAGCAGGAAAGCUAAAUAAGGUGAAAGUAAAGAGAGAAAGGACAAAGGAGCAGAGGAAGCAUUAGCCAAGCAAUAAGGAAAGAAGACAGAGGCAAGGUCAGAUGCUGGUUUCAGAAGAAAUGGCUAGAUCCCAAGGUAGGCAAACUUGAGUCACAUACAGGCAACUCAGCACAUACAAACUUGGGUUUUGUGACAAGACUGGCUCCAAGAGAGACAAGGCUCAGGAUAUGACUUAGUGGUACAGCACUUGCCUAGCAUACUCAAGGCCCUGAGUAUAAUCCCCAGCACUAUACCCUCCCUUGGGGGAAAAAAAAAAAGGCUGAGGACCAAAGCCUCAGAAGUAGUGAUGGCAGCAAGAACUGAAAGAAACCAACAGGUAACAA